rnacentral:rRNA from 2 species
UUAAAUUGAAGAGUUUGAUCAUGGCUCAGAUUGAACGCUGGCGGCGGGCCUAACACAUGCAAGUCGAACGGUAACAGGAAGCAGCUUGCUGCUU